UACGGGGGGGGGCAAGCGUUUGUUCGGAAUUACUGGGCGUAAAGGGCUCGUAGGCGGCCAACUAAGUCAGACGUGAAAUCCCCAGGCUCAACCUGGGAACUGCGUCUGAUACUGGAUGGCUUGAAUCCGGGAGAGGGAUGCAGAAUUCCAGGUGUAGCGGUGAAAUGCGUAGAUAUCAGGAGGAACACCGGUGGCGAAGGCGGUUCUCUGGGAAUAUCCUGACGCUGAGGAGCGAAAGUGUGGGGAGCGAACAGG
rnacentral:rRNA from 1 species